CAGAGAGAAGGAGGGAAGAGAGGAAACAGCUCCUCUCCUGUUAAAGGAUGUCAAGUCUUCAGCUGAGAGCUGUUGAGGAGCACUGAUCCAUCCAUCCUUCCUGCUCAUCCAGAUUAAUCUCACCACUGCGACUCCACAGCCUCGGCACAGCCUUGUAGGUGGAGGAGACGAGGAGCUGCUCUGUGCCAUGAAGACGAAGGUGAAAGUGUUCUCCUGCCCCAGGCUGAGUGGAGUGCACUGCAUACAAAGGUAGACUGAUGUUCAUAUUCUACUAUGGACGGUGUGUGGUACAGACGUACAUCGACUGGAGCGGAACAGGCCACGAGGACCAUUCAGCUCUACCAUAGGGCCCCGCAAAAUCAUUUGGAAGAAGUUGUUUCAGUGACCAACAUGUCAGCAAUUAGCACAUUAACAGGUGGGUCGGCUGGUGCCACCAUCUCACAUACAGGUCACAAGAUGUGCUGGGCUCACCCUCCAUGAAUCUCAAGAAUCCCAUCAUGCCCUAGGAGUUUAAAAGCUCCAGCUCGAACUCAACCUCACAUGACUCCAGUUCCCAUCACCAACUUGACUCCAGUCCCUUAUUGUUCAGUCCUGCUGUUUCCACCCAGCGGUUUAGUUGUGACAGUGGCUUUCAAUGAGAAUCCAGUUGGCCUUCCCUCUCUUGUACCCCUCAUUAACGUUGUCCCCCAUGUCAGAGCCCUGUGGGCCGCAGAGGGGAAGGCUCUCAUGGUGUCUCUGCUGUACGGAGAGCCAGGUCUGAUCCCAGCCAUGAGGAGCCCACAGGCGGAGAGCCCUGUUUAAAAUUCCGCUCUGCAACGUGUCGGCUUUCCAAUCCACCGGGAUUGCAUUAUUAAACUUACACAAGCUCAUUUCCAUACAAAGCAGGAUAUCAGCGGCAGACAGUCAUGCAUAUUUAUCGCCGUGUGCCUGGCUUACGCACGAAUACACUCGCACAAUAACCCACACGCAGGCAUAACUUAGUCGUGGUACAUACGUGAGGGAGGAAACCGAGGUGCAUUCUUAAUGGUUUGAGCAUGAGAUGUCCUGAGUGAGGAUGGUCAGUGAAAUCUACAUGUCAAUCACCUGAUAAACCGACACAUAAACAGGCAGUUUCUCACACGCAAACAGGGGAGAUGAGAUGAGUUACACUUUGAGAUCUGACGAGAAGUGUAUUACUGAUAAUCUACACGCAGAGUCAUGCACACACGAUCCAGCCAAGCCUCCACCUGUCCAUGUUGACUGUUCCCUGCUAGUAGCUAGUUCCCUUAAUGUCCCUGUCUCUGUGUCUCCCCCCGUCCCUACGUCCCUGCUGCCACCACUGUUCUUCUCCUCCUCCACUAGUUUCCGAGCACCGGUUUCUCCUCUCCUCCUCCUCCUCCCCCUCUUUUCUUCCUUGCCCUCCUUCAGGUGAUGUCCGUCCCUCCUCCUCCUCCUCCUCCUCCUGUGAGAUUGCUGCUGUGUCUUAUGGCUUUUUAUUCCUACGUGAGGGUAGAUGUGUUCAUGUAGGGAUAGAAGCCACUAAACACACGGUGAGAGGUCAACGUGCAGGCCAGUAGAGCCAAAGCUUCCUUUUCCACACAGAGCAAAUAGCCUGCGGUGACAUUACAGUGGCGUUUACUGUCUAACUCUAGGCCUACAUGCACCCGUUACUUUUAAAUGGGCCUCCCGGGUGGCGCAGUGGUCUAAGGCUGUGCCACCAGAGAUUCUGGGUUCGAGCCCAGGCUUUGUCG